CUAGUGGAGAUGCUCUUAUGAUGUGGUGCGUCGCUGAGAGGGUUAUGCCUCAACAAAAAUCUUUUGGGUUUCAUCUCCAUAAGAGUGGCUGGGUUUUGACGUUGACUCGCCAAGCCUAUCACAACCCUUCUCCUUUAUCCGGGCUUGGGACCGGCUAUGUCGAGACAACAUAGGCGGAGUUACGAGGUAGGAUGACAGGCUAUGUUGAAUAAAUUUAGCAUCAAGUAUUUCAUGUCCAUACUUAAAUAAUGCUGUUUAGUACUUUAGUGCAUAAUUUGUAAUAUACAUUGAGUUAUACAAUUAUAAUUAUUCGAGUCCAUACUAUACAUGUCUCAUCAUGUUUCUGUUUAGUACCCUUUCUAGUUUUUCAAAUCUUGAAUGAUAAAUAUAAUUGCUUUAUAAAGUAAAUACUGGUAUAUAGGACAGCGUUUUGUGGCAGUAAUUUUUUGGGUCAAAUUUAGUCAUGGAGCGAUAGCCACUAUCUAAAACCUUGUGAUCCUAGUAGUAAGCUGGUGGUUGUAUAAAACAAGGUAGCUACUAUUUUUUUAGGUUUCGAUUAGUAUGCCACAUACCAGGGUCUAAUGUGCGAUAGAAAAUUAACCUAGUUAAGUGGUGAAAAUUUCCGCUGAAAAAAAAUGUUUAAACAAUGACCAUUUCACUUUAUACAAACACCGCCCCGCUUCCGAAGGAAUUUGGAAUCCUCAUGUGAGUAGUAGGAUUAGUCUAUAAUUUUUGUAGUUCAUCUCUGUAUGUGCUAUUAGGAUUAGGAUACGAGUCAAAAUUCCCAGUAUCUCUACCCCGACUCUUUAUCUGAUGUGCUACAUGCUCCUCCAAAAAUUUGCUCUGCUUACCGUGAUUCAGUAGGUUUGAACCGCCCUCAAGCUCCACCUACUCGCUGAUUCACUGGUACCAUGUCUUUCUUCCAAUAAAUCGCACCUACUCUCUUGUACAAUAGCUAGAGCUUGCAAACUCAUUUGCAAUUUUGCAUAUAGAUCCAAUCACCCAAGUGGUAGCAUGCUUUUAUUAGCCAUGAUUUCUCUAUUGGACCUCCUAUUGGUUUAUUUAGUUUUGGCGGGCAAAUUUCUUGAAUCUUCUCCCUCUCACUUGCUACGAGUGCAAAUAUAUAUACACUAGUAUGGGCUUAUGGGCCUAAAACCCACAUACACCCACACACACAUAUAGCCCAGCACCCCUUACGAUUGGCGAUAGCUAUCUAAUGCCCCUAUCUUGUUACAUGCCAACAAACACUCUUCACUAACUAAUCACCUUGUCAACCAAUCUGCUAUUUGUUCUCUAGAGGUUACAUGGCUUGACUUCAAUGUGCCUUCUAGACGCUGUUGAUGAAGGAUUGAUCUAUUUACACAUGCUUUGUUCGGUCAUGUCAAACUGAAUUGUUUGUAUUAUUAAUGGCCGACUUGUUAUUUGGUAGGUGCUCUUUUUUCAAACCGUUAGUCUCAUCGAACCGCACAUCUACAGUUUAAACCACUUUGUAGUGAAAGAGGUUGAAGACUCUGUAGGUGUGUGAAUCCUUUUUGUAGCCAAGCAUAAAACCCUAUGUGCUUUCGGUGCAAAUUUGGAAGUGUGAUGUGGAUCCUUUAUCCAACACCUAGCACCGAAGACUUUGAAAUAACUUACAUUUGGCUUCUUACCAGUGAUUAGCUCAUAUGAUAUUUUCUUGAAGAACUUGUGAUGAUAAGCUCUGUUGAUGAUGUGGCAUGCAGUGCCAAUGGCUUCAGGCCACCACUUUCGUGGUGUCUUGUAUUCGUCAAGCAUCCUGCGUGCCAUCUCAAUAAGAGUCAUGUUCUUGCGCUCCACGACGCCAUUCUGCUGUGGGGUGUAUGGAGCAGAUAGCUCAUGAGUGAUGCCAAGAGUGUCAAGAUAAGUGUCAAACCCAAUGUUCUUGAACUCAGUGCCGUUAUCACUCCGAAUGUGCUUGAUCUUGACGCCAUAGUUGGUCAUAGCAUGGUUGGCGAAUUUUCUGAAGACAUCCUGCACUUCAGUCUUAUACAGGAUUAUGUGCACCCAAGUGUAUUGAGAAUAAUCAUCAACAAUCACGAAGCCAUAAAGAUGUGCAGAAGUAGUAAGGGUAGAGUAGUGAGUAGGGCCAAAUAAGUCCAUGUGUAGCAGCUCGAAGUGACGCGUAGUCGUCAUUAUUGUCUUCGAGGGAUGCUUGGGCCUAGUCAUCUUCCCAGCUCCAGAGGCUCCACAUAGAUGAUCCUUCUUGAACUUGACGCCCUCCAUCCCUAUGAUGUGCUGUUUCUUCACAAGGGUGUGCAAGUUCCUCAUGUUCGCAUGUCCUAGCCUUCGAUGCCAAAGCAAACACUUUGAUGCUUUCGCUAGAAGACAUACGGCAAACUAUGGUUCUGCUGAGAAAUCUACCAUGUACAAGUGACCUCUUCGAUAACCUUCGAAGACUUGAGAUUUGUCAGAAGCCAUUAGCACAAGACAUCGAUAUUUUCCAAAGAUGACAAAUCAUAUCAAGAUCACAAAGCAUUGAGACUGGCAUUAGGUUGUAUCCAAGGGAUUCAACAAGGAUCACUUUAUCCAUGUGUUGAUUUUUUGAGAUGGCAACCCUACCUAGACCCAAUACCUUGAUUUUCCCAGUGUUAGCGGAUGUGAUAUGACUUUUUGAAGACGGUUGAAGAGUAGAAUCCAUGAGAAGACUUCGGUUACCAGUCAUGUGGUUAGUGCAGCCACUGUCCAGAAUCCAUUCAGUAGCUUUCGAAGAUGUACCCUACAGUGCAGUUAGUAGGAUAAUCUUCACAAAGACUGUUGUGAAGAACAAACAUGUAUCAAUAAAGGUGUUCUGUAUAGGUAAGUUUUGUGGAGGAUAUGAUAGGACGAUCAUCAAGAAACCCAUGGACGAAAUAAAUGGUAAGACCAUUUUGACAUUUUAUCUUGCGUCCAACAAGAUUUUUCAGGUCUCGAGCAUGAAGUCCAAUGGUUUUCGGCUGGAGUCCUGUUCUUGCACAAAGGAUUAGCUUUUUGGUCCAUAGCAGAUGUGAAGUACUGUCAUAGACUUCCAAACAUCAAUUGGGUAUAAAUUCGAGAUGCUUUUAUGAUAAGUGGAGUAUGGGAAGAAAAACAUAGUAAGCCCAUUGGGGCAUUUUAUCUUGCGCCCCACAAGUUUCAUCAGGUCUCAAGCAUUGUCUUCGGCCAAUGCUUUUCGGCUGGAGACCCAAUCCUGCAAGAGAAGUUAAUUCUAAUUAACCACCCACAUUUGAAGGGGUGGCUUAGAAGCAAUGAGUCUAAGUGCAGCAUCUGAGAAUUUUGGCUUUGAACCCUAGCAAAUAGUCUCGCAGGGGGUGUAUAGUACUCAUAUAAUAAGCAGAAAAAUUCUUUGAUUUGUGAACAUAAUGGUUCGAAGAAUAGUGCUCAUAUUCAUGAGCUUGAUCAUUGUUUCCCUGCAAAACAUUGGCGUUAGGAUGGCCAUAAGUGGUUCUCUCUCUGUAUGAAGAUUUUGGACCAUUUGAAGCCUUUAGUCUGGGGUUUGUCUUCUUCCCUAGUGGUGUCAUGAUGUCAUUCACAGGAAGCUUUUCAAGAAGACUUUUGGGAACCCAGAUCUUCUUCAUAGGAGAACCAUUCCUGCAGUUAGUACCAAUAAACCUGGCAAACAGGGUUAGCACAGUUAUAGCCAGGUACUGUAGAUGGAUCCACUGGAGGUUCCUUUGCAGCAACCCAUGUGGUUUUGGGGUAUUACUCAGGUGUACGGUAUUAGCCAUCAACAUUCAUGUUCCUUUCGAAACCAACACCCUCUUUCCUAGGGUUUCGGUUCAAGAUCUGCUUCUUGAGGACAUCACAAAAUGUCUGAUGCCCUUUGAGGCUUUUGUACAUGCCUGUUUCAAGCAAUGUCUUCAACCUAGCAUUAUCAUCAGCAAUAGUAGUGGUUUCCUCAGAUGAGGGUUAGUGUCCACAUCCGCAGUUGAAGAUAUUGUAUUGUCUGAAGCAUUUGAACAUUCAGCAGUAGAGAUAGCAUUAUCACACUCAAGACAUUUUAAGCAAAAUGGCACAAACUCUUCCUGAGCGGAACUGAUCUGUUGAACGAGUAGUGAAUCGUUAUCAGUUCGAAAAUCAUCAUGAGACGCUCUCAAUUUCUCUAGAUCUUGCUUCCUUUGAAGAUAACUGUAGGAAAGCUUCUCAUGAUUAACUGAGAGGGUUUCAUGACGACUUUGAAGAUCCUCAUACUUAAUUCGAAGAUUUUUUAUGUCUUCAAUUAAGAAUUGAGUGCGAUUCAUUUCCUCGUCCAGCAGAUCAUCGCUUUUAUCUAACAGUUUUUGGAUCUUUUCCAUAACAGUUUGUUGUUUAGUUGCAAUUUUAGUCAGUGUCUUAUAGCUGGGUUUGGAUUCACACUCAAGAGUCAUCUUCGCUGGAGGUUUCAAAGUCGGCAGCGCGGGAUGUUACCUUAGCGCCUUUUGCCAUAAAGCAGUAGGCAGGAGCAGAGUCGUCGUCAUCAUUGACUUUAGUGUCGGUGACAUAACCAUUGUCUUCCAUACUGAAGAUGGACUUGGCGACGAAAGCCGAAGCUAAAGCCAGGCUUGCCAGCCUGAAUCAGACUCCUCCUCUGACUCCACCUCUGUCUCCUCUGAAUCCAUUUCCUUGCCGAUGAAUGUACGAGCUUUGCCAGAUGAACUCUUCUUGUGGGAUGAAGACUUCGAAGAAGACUCUAAGAAUUUCUUCUUCUUUUUGUCAGUCAUAUUCCUUGCUCUUCUUCUUUUUCUUGGCUUCUUUUUCCCAUUGAGGAUUCUCAGAUAUGUAGAGUCUUGGGUUGAGGUCUCAACAUUCUUCGAGUUGUAUUUUGAAGACUUUUCGAAGCAAUUUUUCUCGGAGAACUUCUGGAACUUCUUCACAAGCAUUGCAAGUUCCUUGCCAAAGUCUUCAGGGCCACUUGAACUGCAGUCAGAGUCUUUAGAUGAAGAUACAACCUUUGCCUUCAAAGCACGGGAUCGCCCAUAGUUAGGGCCAUAGAUAUCUCUCUUCUCAAAUAGCUGGAAUUCAUGAGUAUUGAGGCUCUCUAGAAUAUCAGUAGGAUCCAGUUGCUUAAAGUUUGGACGUUCUUGGAUCAUCAAUGAUAGGGUGUCAAACGAGCUGUCAAGAGAUCUCAAUAGCUUCUUCACAACUUCAUGCUUGUGAUUUCAGUGGCGCCGAGUGCAUGAAGCUCAUUGGUGAUAUCAGUAAGACGAUCGAUGGUAAGCUGGACAUUUUCGUUGUCAAGCCUCUUGAAGCAGUUGAAGAGACUGCGAAGAACAUCGAUUCUUGAGUCUCUCUGAGAUGAGACGCCUUCGUUGACUUUGGAGAGCCAGUCCCAGACUAGCUUCGCAGACUCCAGGGCACUCACGCGACCAUACUGCCCCUUGGUCAGAUGACCACAUAUGAUGUUUUUGGCAGUCGAGUCAAGUUGCGCGAACCUCUUCACAUCAGCAGCGGUGACACCUUCACCGACCUUGAGAACUCCAGUCCUGACGACCUUUCGGAGGUCGUUGUCAAUGGCUUGAAGAUGCAUGCGCAUCUUAUUCUUUCAGUAAAGACAGGGCACGCAGCGGAGACCUUGAUUAUCCCUACAGUCGACAUAGCUAAAACUGCAGGUGGUUAAACCGAAUCACACAGAACAAGGGAGCACCUUGUUUUGAUACCAAUUGAAAGUGCUAGUUAUCGACUAGGGGCGGGGGGUGAAUAGGCGAUUUUUAUGAAAGACUUCAAAAACAGACAAUGUCUACGAAGGUAGCGGAAGUAAUACAGGAUCUAACAACACUGAUGAUUAAGAUGAGCAGGCAUGGCAGGUGUAGACCUCAUACAUGGAUGCAUGCAUUGAAGAUAAACACAAGAAGCAUGAAGAUAAAUGAGCAAACAGAUGAAUGGCUUCAGAGAAUAUCUUCAAACACAGACAAGCAAGCAAAGGAUUCACAGAGUGAUGCAGUAAGUAAAAGGGAGAGAGGAUGGAACAAGUAGCUCGGGGAGGACAAUGAUUUGUUUGACCAUUUCCAACUGCUGUGACAGUUGUAUGCCUGGUUAGGGAGGCUGAGAUUGAACUCAAAAGACCUUGUCUUCACCUUAUUUCCCUUGAGCUAAGGUCACCUAGACCUCACCCAAUCACUUAGGUAAGUCUUCAAGGUAGACUUCCAAACCUUUUCGUUCACCGGCAAUCCACAAUGGCUCUUGGAUGCUCAGAACACGACGCCUAACCGACUAGAAGAUCAUAGUCUUCAAGUGUAAUAAGUCUUCAGUUCACUCAGAACAGAAUGUCUUCAGUGAUGCUCAAUCACUUUGAGCUCUGGGUGUUUUGGGUUUGUCCUUGCAAGGAUUCUCUCUCAAAGGCUUAGGAGGAAGGUUGCUCUCAAACGACAAAAACCGUGUACUUCUCUCUAAGCAGCUACCAACUCAUGGUGGAGGGGGGUGGCUAUUUAUAGCCAGGGGGCAACCCGACAUGAUUUGUCCGAAAUGACCCUGGGUCAUUGGGGAACUAACACGUGUCCAAUGGCCGGAAUUUGAACCCACGCGGCAACUUGACUUGGGAUACAAGUAAAGCUGACUCAUCCAACACAGGAUAAUAUUUUCUCUCAUUUGUCUUUGCACGAAGACAUAGGAUUUUAGGUUGAGCAUCACGUCAGAUUCUGACUUCGUUUACCUCUACCCCACUUGACAGUUCGGUGGUUCCGAUGACUUAAGAAUUAAGAAAAUGAAACUACCAAAAGACUACGUCUUCGUGCUUCAUUGUCUUCAAUGAAUGACUUCAUGAACCAUUAUCUUCAACAUGAAUGUCUUCGUGAACCACCUUUGCCUUCAGUGUCUUCAUACAUUUUUAGGGGUCAUCUUCGAUGGGUAAACCGAAUCAAUAGGGACUUCUAUCUGUGUUCUCCUGUGAAUGUCACAAACGCAUUAGUCCCACAACCAAGUUUGUCUUCAAUACUUCAAAACCAACAAAAGGUGGCACUCGAUGCACUUACAGAAACAUAAAUGAUAAGUGACUGUAGUGCUUCUACAAAUUCAUUCAUACGAUGCCUGUUCAGGAGUCAGGACAGAAGUGGAUUGGGUAUAUAUAUCAUCGUGAUGUCGAGUGUGAAAUGUUGUAGAUCUAAGACAUAAUAAAAUCAUCACUUCCUUAGCCGUAAACCAAAUAAAUCACAGAACAUAUCGGAAUCAUCACCAUGAACCAGCACAAGAUUGAUAAGUGGCCAUAUCAAGAUCAUACCUUUAACCCAAGAAUCAAUCAUGACCAGUAGUGACUUAGUGCAGCAGCCCAGUUUUGUGAAUGAUAUAGAAGACGUGGUGGUUUCUUGUAGCUCCGGCAAUGGGCUACCAAAGCCGUAAAUUGACCCGAGCUACAUAUGGAUGGGAGGAACCUGCAUAGCCGAACCUGCCUAUGGAAUCUCUGCAAAACAGAGUACACAGUGGAGCCAUGCAGCCUGAAGUCACCAUAGGGAAGAUUGUAUCAAACAAUUUGAUCCAAAUAAAUUAAGAAUCUUCUGCUUGUGAAUGUUCAAUCCCAUCCAUGUGUGCAAGACAGACUACAUGAGAGGCAGAGACUAACAAUGUUUCUAACUGAAAUAAGCUCCAUUAUCAUAAUAUCAUUAGACAAGCACUACGAUGAUCAGUAACAAAGAUAAAUCACCAAAUGAAUCAGCAAUAUUCUAGAGCUAGCAGAGAGCUUACAGCCCAAGCAUACGCGAAACCACGCAAGGAAGAUGCCCACAUCCAUAUCUCGACAACGGAGUCGAUCCGUCACUCGGAGAGCUUAUAACCCAAGCAUACAAUAUUUGAUCUGGUCGCUCCCCGACAGCAAGUCGAUCUCAUGCAUUCUCAUAGUCGUAGGUGGCCGGCGCUUGAUCCUCGUCCCACAUCACGGCGCCACCAUCCUCAUAUGUCCUUACCGGGGCUGGUAGAUCCUGUCGAUUCACAGGCACACAACAAUCCCGAUUAGGUGAGAUUCGACCAGCAGCUGGGCAAACAAAGGAAUAAAUAUAUCAAACUUUAUCAAGGAGAAGGGUGAGUCAUCAAGAGGAGGGGAAUGAUUAGUGGAGGAAGCAUGCACAUGGAUCCGCCUCUACCGUUCUUGGUCGAGGCCGCUGCCGUCCUUCGUCGAGCAGAGGCGAAUCGAAGACAAACUGGGGCCAAGGGGAGGGCCAGCAGGGAAGACCAGUGAAGCAGGAGCACGCCUGGGCAGGUCACCGCUGUCAUGGUAGGGCAUCACGGGAAGGGUGUCGGCGCGGGCAAACGAUGGCGGCGGUAGCGGCGGCAGCGGCGGCAGCGUGAGUUUUUGUUUUGCGCUAAGGUUUUCUUUGCGGGGACAUUUAGCGCUGAGUGGUUGCGGACACGGGACAGGGAUAUUUCUUCUACCGGUGGAGCACGGUCAGCCUGCGGUAAUUGCUAGGUGCACACUCUCAGGAUUAGAUUAAUCCUGACGGUUAAGAUUUGCCUAAGAGAGAUGAACUGGUGGUGCUGUUCUAGCUGUGUACGUUUGCUGGGGUGUGUUUAAGAAAGAAAAAGUUUACUCUUUUAUUAGUAGAGAAAUUGGGCCAGUAAAAGUACCUUUUCAGCCAGUGAUAUGUUCUAAUUCCAGAGUGACCCUCAAGUGCAGAAGUGUGAUAUGUAUGCAGGAGUGUUUGACUAAAGGAAUUUGCAGUUCCAUUGUAUAACCUGGUGUUGUAUUUGAGCACACCAUCAUUUGGGGAGAACUUGUCUUGAUCAAAAACAUCUUGUGCGACUUUGGUCAAUAGUUUGUAGUAGUCAGCAUGCCCAACAUAACUGUUUUUAACAUCAGUGAGCAGUGCCCCUAGUGUGUCUUAAAUGUAGUUUUGGGGAUGUCUGGUGUGGCCAUUCUUAUUUGGUGAUAGCCUCACCUUAAAUCGAAUUUGCUAAAGAAUUUUGCUCCGUAUAGUUCAUCCAGUAAAUCCUCCAUAAGAGGCAUGGGGAAUUUGUUUUUAAAACGCAGUGGAAAACUCUCUGUAAUUCACACAUAAUCUCCACCCCCAUCUUUUUUUAUGACCAUUACCGCUGAAGAGGAAUAGGGACUGAAACUGAGUUGCAGUUCUUUCUUUAUAAUCAUAGCACUUCCUGUAGCCAAUCUGGCCGACAAGUUGAGAGGCCAUCCAGGAGUAACAAGUGCCCCACUCGUGACAAUGAAUCUACGGCACUAUUGUCCACCCCUGAUUUGUAUUUGAAACUGAACUGCAGCCCCACAAGUUUUGCCUGUUUUUGCGCUGAAGAUCUGAACCCAACUGUUGUUCAGUCAGACUACACAGGUUCUUAUGAUAUGUAUAGAUGACAAACGGCCCUCUUUGUAAAUAUUGCCUCCACUUAUCGACAACCAUAAUUAGUGCAAGAAAUUCCUUGUCGUAGAUGGAUAAUUUCUGAUUCAUAAAUCCUAAUGCUUUGCUCAUAUAAGCAAUGGGGUGCUCAUUCUGCAUCAGCACAGCACCCACCCGUGACCCCUAUUGGGCAAGCGUCUGUUUCAAUGGCAAAUGGCAGCUUGAAAUUUGGGAAGGCCAAAGACUGGGGUACGGGUCAUCACUUGUUUUAAGAGCUCAAAUGCUGAUGUAGCAUGUUCAGACCAGACAAACCCCUUCUUAGUCAGCAGCUGUGUCAGGGGUUUCGUGAUGAUACCAUAAUUCCGAUACCAUAAUUCCAAACAAACUUGCGGUAGUACCCUGUUAAUCCGAGAAACCCUCGCAAUUCUGUAGCAUUGGUGGGUACGGGCCAUUUCUUCGGCUGUUUUUUUUGGACCUAUAGCCACCCCAGUGUCUGAAAUAAUAUGGCCAAGAUACUGAAUGUUGCUUUGCCGAAGGAGUACUUGGACAGUUUUGCAAAGAACUUGUUUGCACGGAGCUGCUCGAGCACAAGGCGUAGGUUUUCCAGAUGAGCUUCCCAUGAUGCAUUGUACACCAGGAUGUCGUCCAAGAACACUAUCACAAUUUGUGAAGGAAAAGAGCAAAGACUGAGUUCAUGACGCACUGGAACGUCGCUGGUGCAUUCGUAAGACCGAAGUGCAUCACAUGGAACUGAAAAUGCACGUGGUGUGUUUUGAAAGCCGUCUCUGGUUCAUCUUCAGGGCGCAUUCAAAUCUGAUGAUAGCCUGCACGAAGAUCUAGCUUUGAAAAGAACCUUGUGCGUGCGAGCUCAUCGAGUAAUUCAUCCACCAUCAGAGAGGUACACAUCUCCAUUAGAGAAGGGGUUUGUGACGAUUCACCAACUCUAGUAUGCAGUGUAUUGUGCCCUUUAUGUAGGUGAACACACUAGGUGCCUGUGUGCCACAUUUAUACAUCUGGUCCGUACACACAAGCACACAUCUUCUACCCCGUCGCUUCAGGUAUGCAUCUUUCCUCUGUUUUAAUGCUAGCUCGUCUCCACCUUAAUACACCCCCACCCCCUCCCUCCCAUGCGUGCUUCUCUCCCAUGGCACUGUGCUCUGGCGAAUGGAGGAGAGAAGCCUCCAGGCAUGUAUCGGCCGCUGCACAGGAGCUGCAAUGUGCUGGCAGCCAUGUCUCUAUCGUUGUCGUCACAUGGACAGCCGUGGCAACAGAGGAGAGCUGCAGCGGCGUCUAGCCUGUAAUAGCUGUUGCAUCAAUUCCAUUUUUUGGGUUCACUUGAGAUCGACGAAUCGGAAGGAAACUUGAGAUCGAUUAGAGUUCGGUCAAUCGGACAUCAAUUUCCGAUCAAACCGAGCGAAUUCGUACUCCGAUCUAGAUCUGGGAGCAUAGCAAACAUAAUACUAGUUAAAGAAGACGCACAUUGCUUAAACAAAUGGAAUGAAUAGUUUUCUAACUGGGGCCAUAGCGAACAUAAAACUAUCCUAACACCAUUUUCUUGUUUUGCACUUUCUUCCGUAAAUAGAUGUGUAGGACAUGGGCGCAGUCUCCACCAUGCAACGUGGACCAUUAAUUUCCGUACAAGUAUAUCAGUAGAAGUAAUAUGGAAUACUACCUCCGUCCCAAAUUAUAAGACAUAAGUGUCUUUUUUUUCUCGAGAAAACGCAAGAGAGCUUGCAUUUCAUUGCUUUGGAAAGAGAGAGGGUUUUAGUUACAAUCCUCCAAGGAGGGAAUUAUAGUGCCCAAAGGCGCAUCAGUGAACGUCCCAAGUUUGCGGUACGAUGGCUUGUAGCCCGAGGGUGCCGGCUCUGGCUCGGAGGGCGGCCUCGUCCUUGAUCUUCGUGAGUAGGUAGGUUGCCGAGGGCCGUCCUCUGUCGAAGACGCAGUCAUUACGAUGCUUCCCGAUCAUCCAUUGGACGAGGAGGGUCGUGGAGGCGAGGCCCUUGCGCAUGGGUUUGGGGGUGUGCUGCCGCGCCAUGUGCCACCAGUCAUUGAGAGAGGUCUCGUUGUCGGGCGGGGCGCAGGGGAGCCGGAGCCAAUACAACACCUCGUGCUAGAUCUGCCGGGCAAAGGGGCAACCUAGGAUGAGGUGGUGCAUGGUCUCGAGGGCCUGGUUGCAGAGGGGGCAUCGCGCAGGGUGUUGCAGGCCGCGGCGGGCGAGGCGGUCGGCCGUCCAACAUCUGUCCAGGCGGGCGAGCCAGUGGAAGAAUCGGACGCGCGGGGGUGCCCAGUUUUUCCAUGUGAGCUUCCAUGGGUUGCAGUCGGUGGAGCCAUUGAAGGUGGUGAUGUAGGCCGAUUUGGCGGAGCAGACGCCGCGGGGGCUCCACUUCCAUGAGAGGCUGUCUGGCUCGGCGGAGAGGGUUGUGUUGCUGACUGCGUGCCAGAGCUGUAAGUAUUGCCUGAUCUCGUGGAUGCCAAUCGUGCCGUGUAUGUCCCGUGCCCCUUGGUUGGCCUGUAAUCCGUCGGCGACGGUCCUGAGCUUGCGGCGGCGCUUGGGAAUGCAAGCGUAUAGUAGCGGCGCGAUCUCGCCGACGGAGCGCCCGUCGAUCCAGCGGUCUUCCCAGAACAGGGCCGCCGCGCCAUUACCGAUUUGUAUGGUGGUGGAUGCGAAGAAGAAUGCACGCUCCUAUUUAUGUCUUAUAAUUUGGGACCGAGGAAGUAUUAUAUUAUGGAACUACUCUUGUUUAUAAACUUAACCUAAUCUUUAUCUUAUGUAUGAUGAGUCAAGUUUAGAAACAUAUGAAUUUGAUGGACAGAUCUAGUUUUGGUUAGUCAUUCACAUUUUAUGAUAAUGUGUAGUACUAACGUAUUUGGCUUCUGAGCAGAGUUCCAAGAAUGUUUUGGAAGGCAACUUGAAGACUUUGGUUCCGUUAUUUUAGAAUCACGUGGACGACAGGUGCUGCACACUUCGGUGUAAAGAGGUGUCUGAAAAACUGCGAGGGAGGUGGUUGUUCGGGGCGUCAUAUAUAACCAUAUUCCAGAAUGGUUAGGCAGAUGCUCAGUAUGCUACCAAUACAUUGUAGCGACACCAGCAAUUGUACUUCUGUAGCAUGUAGCGACACCAGCAAUUGUACUUCUGUAGCAUGCCAAAAUAGUAAAUAAGAACAUAACAACUUUGUUCUCUUGGAAAC
rnacentral:lncRNA from 1 species